rnacentral:rRNA from 1 species
GACAGAGGGUGCAAACGUUGUUCGGAAUUACUGGGCGUAGAGCGUGUGUAGGCGGCCACGUAAGUCGGAUGUGAAAGCCCCAGGCUCAACCUGGGAAGUGCACUCGAUACUGCGUGGCUUGAGUAUCGGAGAGGUUGGUGGAAUUCUCGGUGUAGAGGUGAAAUUCGUAGAUAUCGAGAGGAACACCGGUGGCGAAGGCGGCCAACUGGACGAAUACUGACGCUGAGACACGAAAGCGUGGGGAGCAAACGGG